UCUCCACGAUAACGAGGCUGAGCUGACAAAUUUGCAGUGAACGGAGAAAUCUUGCGGUCUUAGAUGGGAUACGUGCAGCCGGCGCGUGAAAAUCAGGGGAAGAAGGAGAGCGAAGAAGGUAUUCAACCUCUGAUGAACAAGGAGGUCGAAGAAGAUUUGCGCAUUAAAAUGGAGCAGAAGGCACGAGAAGAGUAUGUCUGAGUACACCUCAAAGUAUGACCAAUGUACUUCCGGAAGAUUUCUACUUUUUCGGCCUAUUAAGUGUCGCAAACAGGCUUUAAGAGAAGAAAGACUGCCUUCACAGAUACGCCAAUGAUGCAGUACUGGAACAAAUGAAGAAAGAAUACGCACUUCAGCAAGAAGGGAAGACUCCUGAAAAAAUCUAACCCAAGACAGCAGAUUUCUGACCACUCGGGGAAGCAUUCUCCUACUCGUACAGGGGCGGCAGAGGAAAUUUCUUUCCAGUGAGACUCUGGUUUCUACUCGUUUGCGCUGUAAAAACUUGAUGAGCUCCAUUGUUGCUCUUGCAAUAGGAUUCGAAUUUUAGCAAGCUUAUGCUUAGUUUUUGAGUUGUAUAAUGAUUUAACUCAACUUGAUUUUGUGUAAUAAUUAUAAGUGUUGAUAAAUA